rnacentral:rRNA from 1 species
AUUGAACGCUGGCGGCAGGCCUAACACAUGCAAGUCGAGCGAGCGGCGGACGGGUGAGUAAUGUAUGGGGACUGCCCGAUAGAGGGGGAUAACUACUGGAAAAGGUAGCUAAUACCGCAUACUAUCGGAUAACCCAUAUGGGAUUGGAUAGUCGGUGGGGUAACGGCUCACCUAGGCGACGAUCUCUAGCUGGUCUGAGAGGUUGAUCAGCCAUACUGGAACUGGGGCACGGCCCCGCCUCCGACGGAGGCAGCAGUGGGGAAUAUUGCACAAUGGGCGCAAGCCUGAUGCAGCCAUGCCGCGUGUAGGAAGAAGGACUUAGGGUUGUAAAGUACUUUCAGCGGGGAGGCGUUACCCGCAGAAUAAGCACCGGCUAACUCCGUGCCAGCAGCCGCGGUAAUUC